GAUUUGGGGGGGGCGAAGAAAGGCGGGGGGCGGGGGAAAAGAUUAGGAGCGUGCGUCCUUUACGUUUGCGGCGGAGGGGGGCCCGGGGGUACGGACCUGUAGAGUGGGAUACUAGGGAAGAGGGAGCUAAUACCGGAUAACAUUUGGAACCGCAUGGUUCUAAAGUGAAAGAUGGUUUUGCUAUCACUUAUAUUAUGGACCCGCGCCGUAUUAGCUAGUUGGUAAGGUAACGGCUUACCAAGGCGACGAUACGUAGCCGACCUGAGAGGGUGAUCGGCCACACUGGAACUGAGACACGGUCCAGACUCCUACGGGAGGCAGCAGUAGGGAAUCUUCCGCAAUGGGCGAAAGCCUGACGGAGCAACGCCGCGUGAGUGAUGAAGGGUUUCGGCUCGUAAAACUCUGUUAUUAGGGAAGAACAAACGUGUAAGUAACUGUUGCACGUCUUGACGGUACCUAAUCAGAAAGCCACGGCUAACUACGUGCCAGCAGCCGCGGUAAUACGUAGGUGGCAAGCGUUAUCCGGAAUUAUUGGGCGUAAAGCGCGCGUAGGCGGUUUCUUAAGUCUGAUGUGAAAGCCCACGGCUCAACCGUGGAGGGUCAUUGGAAACUGGGAAACUUGAGUGCAGAAGAGGAAAGUGGAAUUCCAUGUGUAGCGGUGAAAUGCGCAGAGAUAUGGAGGAACACCAGUGGCGAAGGCGACUUUCUGGUCUGUAACUGACGCUGAUGUGCGAAAGCGUGGGGAUCAAACAGGAUUAGAUACCCUGGUAGUCCACGCCGUAAACGAUGAGUGCUAAGUGUUAGGGGGGUUUCCGCCCCUUUAGUGCUGCAGCUAACGCAUUAAGCACUCCCGCCUGGGGAGUACGACCGCAAGGGUUUGAAACUCAAAGGAAUUGACGGGACCCCGGCACAAGCGGUGGGAGGCAAUGGUGACUUUUUAAAUUUUUCUGCGAAGGA
rnacentral:rRNA from 1 species